rnacentral:rRNA from 1 species
UACGGGGGGGCAAGCGUUGUUCGGAAUUACUGGCGUAAAGGGCUCGUAGGCGGCCAACUAAGUCGGAUGUGAAAUCCCCAGGCUUAACCUGGGAACUGCAUCCGAUACUGGAUGGCUUGAAUCCGGGAGAGGGAUGCGGAAUUCCAGGUGUAGCGGUGAAAUGCGUAGAUAUCUGGAGGAAUACCGGUGGCGAAGGCGGCAUCCUGGACCGACAUUGACGCUGAGGAGCGAAAGCUAGGGGAGCAAACGGG